CUUCCUGUAAUACAAAAAGACAUUUCGAAGCCGAAACAGGAGCCUAAACAACACUGGAACACUCAAAAUAAGUAAGGAGAUCGACAAUUUAUAAUUAAAAUAUCUGAUACACGCGUCAAAUGUACCAGAUGCAUAUAGUUAGGAGUCCUCUGUGUCCAUGCUUUUUGCUUCUAUUUUCAUUUUGCACCAGUUUACUCACUACACUGUGACUGUCACUUCACACUUGAUAUAUAAAAUUAUUAGCAUAUCUCUAUUUGAGUUGGUACCCCUAAAGUGAAAGAAGGCACGAUGUUGCCUGUCAGGAAUUUUCUGGUGAGCUCUUGGAGAUUAAAUAUUUUAUUACAAAUUUCAUUUGUAUAGUGUUGACUAUAGAGUCAGCUAUAAACAGGUGCUCUAAAUGAAGUGUAUUCUGACUUUAAAUGGCACCAACAUGUCUGAAAAAGUCUUGAUUUUUGGAGUAGUCGUUGACUAUUGUUUAUUUUAUCUACAUGUACAUGUAAAAAAUGUACAUUGAUUUGCAACAAAAUUGUCUGCAUAGUUAUAGACUUCACUUUCAAAUACAUGCAAUCAGCCAGACAGUAAAGAUAUUAAUAUGGAGAUACUUUCAAUAUUGCUUGAUUGACUCUUAAAUUCAAGAAAGGCUUUGGAAUAGUCCUUCCAGUUAAAUGAGGGGCCUCGGUGGCCGAGUGAUCUAAGUAGUUACUACUGGAAUCACUAGCCAGUCAACACUGGGGUUGUGAAUUUGAACCCCGCUUGUGCAGGUGCACUCGACUCCAAUCUUAAUUGACUAGGGUUGUCAGUUUUCCAAUCGAAGGUAGGUGGUUUUCUCCGGGCACUCUGGCUUCCUCCACCAAUAAAAACUUGCCGCCUCGAAAUAGCCUAAAUGAGGUGCUUAAAAGUGGCGUUAAAAUACCAAAAAUCAAAAAUCAAAUCCAGUUAAAAUGUAAAGUGUUGCAUAGUGCUUUAUCAAAUACUGGUGAGUAUUCCUUUCAUGUUGCAAUAGACAACUUUCGAGUUCGAUGCAUUUCCGUCAAAAACUCUGGAUUUAGUGAACGUCAUUUGUGCGUUUAGGGGCGUCGUCACUUCCGUUUCAAUGUUGAGCGAGUGUUGGAAACUAUUUCUAUAUGACGAAUUAUUCGCAAAUUAAAUUCUCAAAAUUGACAAUCAGCACUGGCUGUUCAUAGGGGAAUUGUCAUUAAGUGCCUACAGAACAACCAUUAUUCUAGUUUAUCUGCACAACGACGAUCACUAAGACGCUGAUGAACGUAAAGAGGUGCAGGGAUACAGGCGAUCCCCUCUAUCUGGUAAUGACGUCAUACAGGCGCGCAUAGAGUUUUUGCCGGUGACGGAUGAACUCGAAAGUGGUCUAUUGCAGUGCUCAGUAGAAUGUGAGAAUCUUCAACACCAAAAAAUGGAUAAGUGUUUUCAGUCUGUUACAAAAUUUCAGUAUGUAAUGUACUAUAAUCAUGAUUUAGUGACCAAACCUAUAAAUUGAUGAAAAUAAUGGCUAAAUUAAAACCCCAGCAUGUUAGCAGUAUAACUUAUGUAUCUGCUGAAUGGAAUUUAACUUUAGUCUUGCUUCUGUUUUGACUCUUAUGAAAUGUUCGGUAUAACACACAAUAAAUUAAAAAAAAGAUAACUGUGUAAGUGCACCACUUCAGAAGUAGUCCUAGCUAGCAUUGGCUAGCUCUGAUGUCCAGUAGCCUAUUCACAGGACGGUUAUGUGAAGACAAACAGAAAUACAUAAUCAUGAUAAUAAUAAAGUUCUAUAUUAAAAGGGGGUAUAAUGAUGAUCAUAUAGGACCAUUAUGACUGACAGAUUUUAUGGCCACCUGAUUUAUUCAGAAAAUGUCACAGGCAUUGACAGUUAGUACACUACAAUUAGUUAAAUGAACACACUACAAUAAGUUAAAUGAACACAAGGAAAUGUACUAUAAAACAAACAUGUAUUAUACACAGUAUAUAUAAAUUUUAAGCUGCAAGAUAGAAUAUAGUUGAUAUCACUAAUGAUUUUUUUCUUCAUUUAUUUUAGGUAUAAAGAAUCAUGUUUGAUUGGGACUGGCGAGAGACAUUAGUUGACAUUUUAAAGUAUGCUGCAAAAAAUCCUUGGGACUUUGUGUUCUAUGUUCUGCUGUGUUUGUCUCCAUUGUUUUUGAUAAGUGCAAUUUUAGCCUACAAUCUUGCAAAACAGAUAGAGGCAAAAGAGAAAGAACAAAAAAGGAAAGCUAGAAGAGAUAAAAAUAUUGCAAAGGCUAAAAAGAAAUCUGAAAAGGCAGAUUAAGACUAACCGUUAUUUUAUCAGGGACAUUUUAUAUCAUUGCUUCAUUUUAUAUUGUACAUUUUGUAUGUAUAUUUAUAUUACAUGUAUCAAUAAAUUAUCAUGAUUUUGUUCACUAAAUGAUUGAAAUCUCU
rnacentral:lncRNA from 1 species